rnacentral:misc_RNA from 1 species
GCAAACUUGGUCAUUUAGAGGAAGUAAAAGUCGUAACAAGGUUUCCGUAGGUGAGUAAACGAUAAUAAAUUCCUCCCUCGUUGAAUUCUUGAUAACUAACCCGUUUUUUAGGUGAACCUGCGGAAGGAUCAUUAAAGAGUUAGGGUCUAUACGGCCUGACCUCCCAACCCUUUGUGUAUUGAACCUGUGUUGCUUCGGCGGGCCCGUCGUGAGAACGACCGCCGGAGGACCGCUGAGAGGCGUCCUCUGGCCCGCGUCCGUCGGUGGCCUACACCUUAAAAAAUUCUGAAUGAACCAUGUUAUAUGCCUAAGUUCUUUGAUAAAUAAAGCAAAAACUUUCAACAACGGAUCUCUUGGUUCUGGCAUCGAUGAAGAACGCAGC